rnacentral:rRNA from 1 species
AGAGUUUGAUCCUGGCUCAGGAUGAACGCUGGCGGUGUGCCUUAGGCAUGCAAGUUGAACGCACUGUAGCAAUACAGUGAGUAGCAGACGGGUGAGUAACACGUAGGGAUCUACCCAGUAGUGGGGAAUAGCUCGCCGAAAGGCGGGGUAAUACCGCAUACUCCCGCAAGGGAAAAGCAGCAAUGCGCUAUUGGAGGAACCUGCGCGCUAUCAGCUAGUUGGUGAGGUAACGGCUCACCAAGGCGACGACGGCUAGCCGAUGUGAGAGCAUGAUCGGCCACAAGGUCACUGAGACACGGGGCCUACACCUACGGGUGGCAGCAACCGGGAAUUUUGCGCAAUGGGCGAAAGCCUGACGCAGCGACACCGCGUGUGGGAUGAAGCUCUUCGGAGUGUAAACCACUGUGGCGAGGGAGGAAUUUUGACAGUACCUCGCUAGAAAGCACCUGCUAACCACGUGCCAGAAGCCUCGGUAAUACGUGGGGUGCAAGCGUUAUCCGGAUUUACUGGGCGUAAAGCGUACCGUCGGCGGUUCGCUAAGUCUGAUGUUUAAGCCCAAGGCUCAACUUUGGAUCAGCAUCAGAAACUAACGAACUUGAGUAUGUUAGAGGUAGUUGGAAUUCUCGGUGGAGGGGUGAAAUCCGUAGAUAUCGAGAGGAACGCCGCGCGCGAAGGCAGGCUACUAUGACAUUACUGACGCUCAUGGACGAAAGCUAGGGGAGCAAAAGGGAUUAGAGACCCCUGUAGUCCUAGCUGUAAACACUCCUUGCUAGUUGUUCUCACUUUGAGUGGGAGUGACGUAAGCUAACGCGUUAAGCAAGGCGCCUGGGGAGUACGACCGCAAGGUUAAAACUCAAAGGAAUUGACGGGGGGGCGCACAACCGGUGGAGCAUGUGGUUUAAUUCGAUACAAAGCGAAAAACCUUACCCAGGCUUGACAUCCUCCUAUAUCUCUCUGGAAACAGAGACAUUUAGUGGAGUGACAGGUGAUGCAUGGCUGUCGUCAGCUCGUGUCGUGAGACGUCCUCUUAAGUGAGGUAACGAGCGCAACCCUUAUCCCGUGUUACAAGUGUCACGGGAGACUGCCCUCGCUUUGCGGGGGAGGAAGGAGAGGACGACGUCAAGUCAGCAUGUCCCUUACGUCUGGGGCUACACACAUCCUACAAUGGAGCCGACAACGGGUAGCGAAGCUGCAAAGCUGAGCCAAUCCUACAAACGGCCCCUCAGUUCGGAUUGCGGGCUGCAACCCGCCCGCAUGAAGUCGGAAUCGGUAGUAAUCGCAAAUCAGCAGGUUGCGGUGAAUACGUUCUCGCUCCUUGUACACACUGCCCGUCAAGCCAGCAAAGUCGGCAAUACCCGAAGCGGGUGACCUGAACCCUCGUGGACAGGCCCUUCUACGGUAAGGUCGGCGAUGAGGACUAAGUCGUAACAAGGUAACC